rnacentral:lncRNA from 1 species
ACGGCGGAGGGGCAGCAGGUGAACGUGUCGACCGGCGUCGUCGAGACGCCGAUCGCCAGCGCCCUCACCACCGACUUCCCCCUCGCCGUCUACUCCGUCAACAAGGUCCUCCUCCCCUACGACCUCUUCGGCCCCAAGUCCCCGGCCUCCGCGCCGCUCCCUGCGGCCGACGGCAAGCCCGGGAAGGGCCCGAAGAGCGCCGCGGGGUCGGCGGAGUCCGCCGGCGAAAGUAGCUCGGCCCCGGAGAGUAAUUUCUCCGGGUGGAGGGCUUUUUUUCUGGGAGCCGGGUUGGUGAUAAGUGCAAUUGGGAG